rnacentral:siRNA from 1 species
GCAACUGGAAAAGGAAAAGGUUA